GACGAACGCUGGCGGCGUGCUUAACACAUGCAAGUCGAACGGAAAGGCCCUGCUUUUGUGGGGUGCUCGAGUGGCGAACGGGUGAGUAACACGUGAGUAACCUGCCCUUGACUUUGGGAUAACUUCAGGAAACUGGGGCUAAUACCGGAUAGGAGCUCCUGCUGCAUGGUGGGGGUUGGAAAGUUUCGGCGGUUGGGGAUGGACUCGCGGCUUAUCCGCUUGUUGGUGGGGUAGUGGCUUACCAAGGCUUUGACGGGUAGCCGGCCUGAGAGGGUGACCGGCCACAUUGGGACUGAGAUACGGCCCAGACUCCUACGGGAGGCAGCAGUGGGGAAUAUUGCGCAAUGGGCGGAAGCCUGAUGCAGCAACGCCGCGUGCGUGAUGACGGCCUUCGGGUUGUAAACCGCUUUCGCCUGUGACGAAGCGUGAGUGACGGUAAUGGGUAAAGAAGCACCGGCUAACUACGUG
rnacentral:rRNA from 1 species